CUCAGCUUUAUAAUCUGAUCCCUCAGAAAUUCAGAACAAGAAAGAUCUCCUUAGAAGAGUCUACAUAGAACAUGCUGAAUCAGCCUGCUGCAGACAGCCAGGUCUGUGCACGCCCUACUGAGGUCCUGAGCCACACAGAACAUGCCGAAUCAGCCCGCUGCAGACAGGCAGGUCUGCCCACACCCUACCAAGGUCCCCAGUCCUGUGGAAUAUGCUGAAUCAGCCUGCUGCACACAGGAAGGUCUGUGCACCCCCUAUGGAGGUCCUGAGUCAUGCGGAAGACACCGAAUCAAUCCGCUGCAGACAGGCAGCCACCUGGUUCCACACUACAAAGACACAGAGGACACCAGACCACCGGACCAAGGUCCCCAAGUAGAGAAAUAUCCAAAGUAUCCAUGGAGUGACACCAUGACCAAAAGGAGAAGAAACGAACAACAACAAAAACAAACCAAAACAACAACAGCCAAACACCAACCCACAGUGUUUCUUCUGUUGUUCAUGCACUGAGGUGACAUUUAUGAAGCACCAUGUGUCAAGUGUGUAGCAUGACCUUAUUGUUUAUAACUGCAAUGUACCUUGAGUUCAUUGUGAUUCAUCAUCUUUCUUUAACUGAUGAGCAAACAGAAACUUACAGGGGUUACACGCUUCCUGUAGUUGGUAAAUAUUGAAACCAAUGUUCAAAAUUGCAUCUGCUGAGUUUUUCUUAUUGCCUCUUUCCAAAUACUUGUAAAAGAGAAUUGAAUUUAAUUGAAUUAAAGCCUGGUGCACGCAAGUGAUUAAUCCAUGCUGCUGAAUGAAUGGCUAGUGACUGUAUUUAUACCUAGUAUCCAUAAAUUUAAUAUAUGUUGUGCGGAGAGAGAUGCCUCAAUAGGAAGAUGACAGUUAACACGGUCAUUUUCUGAUAUGGAAAAUACAUAAAUGUGUGCAUGCCUCUUGCAUUUAAUUUUCCCACUGCUACUGAAAUGGAUAUUUACCAGUCAUCAGAGAGCUGUUGAGCUUUGUUAUCUGAAAGUGCCAUAGCAUCUUGGCUGCCUACAGUGCAGAAUGAAGAGGGGUGAUUAGUCUCCCUGGAAAAUAGCUCAUAUCUUCCUAGUAAUGGAAAACGCUCAGGCAGCCAGAGAAAUCACCCUCCUGACAGUCACUUGCUCUGUGAGUUUUGAUAACCUGACCCUCGGUUUCCUUGCCUGGAAGGUGAAAGGGCUAGGGCUGUAAACUUUCUCUGAUUAUAUUCCCUCUUGAAAUCAAAUGCAAUCUUUUAUACUUCUAAUAUGUAGAGUUUAGUAAAAGUACUGUGGCCUUCU
rnacentral:lncRNA from 1 species